UCAUGUGUGAUAGCCGGCAGGCGUUGCAUGGUCGGGGUUGUGGGACCUUCACGUACUUCUGCCGAAGUACACGUCGACUUGCGCGAUAUAGGUGAACGGCAUUGAAAGGCCGACCAUAGUGGGUGCCAGUCCCGUAACCGAAAUGUCGCGCAGAGGCGGAAGGGAUCCCAAGUAUCACGGGGCCCGAGAAAUCCCGUGUGAAUCUGCCAGGACCACCUGGUAAGCCUAAAUACUCCCAGAUGACCGAUAGCGGACAAGUACCGUGAGGGAAAGGUGAAAAGUACCCCGGGAGGGGAGUGAAAUAGUACCUGAAACCGUCUGCUUACAAACCGUUGGAGGGGCCCUAGUAGCCCUGACAGCGUGCCUUUUGAAGAAUGAGCCUGCGAGUUAGUGGUAUGUGGCGAGGUUAACCCGUGAGGGGAAUCCGUAGCGAAAGCGAGUUCGAAUAGAGCGAUUCAGUCGCAUGCCCUAGACCCGAAGCGAAGUGAUCUAUCCAUGGCCAGGUUGAAGCGACGGUAAGACGUCGUGGAGGACCGAACCCACUUGGGUUGAAAACCGAGGGGAUGAGCUGUGGAUAGGGGUGAAAGGCCAAUCAAACUUCGUGAUAGCUGGUUCUCUCCGAAAUGCAUUUAGGUGCAGCGUUGCGUGUUUCUUGCCGGAGGUAGAGCUACUGGAUGGCCGAUGGGCCCUACAAGGUUACUGACGUCAGCCAAACUCCGAAUGCCGGUAAGUGAGAGCGCAGCAGUGAGACGGUGGGGGAUAAGCUUCAUCGUCGAGAGGGAAACAACCCAGACUACCGACUAAGGCCCCUAAGCGUGUGCUAAGUGGGAAAGGAUGUGGAGUUGCAGAGACAACCAGGAGGUUGGCUUAGAAGCAGCCACCCUUGAAAGAGUGCGUAAUAGCUCACUGGUCAAGUGAUUCCGCGCCGACAAUGUAACGGGGCUCAAGCACACCGCCGAAGUCGUAGGAUUCGUAUUAUAGGUAGGCCUUCGUGGUCCAGCCGUACGGAUCGGUAGGAGAGCGUCGUGUGGCGAGUGAAGCGGCGGGGUGACCCAGCCGUGGACGCCACACGAGUGAGAAUGCAGGCAUGAGUAGCGAAAGACAUGUGAGAAACAUGUCCUCCGAAAGACCAAGGGUUCCAGGGUCAAGCUAAUCUUCCCUGGGUAAGUCGGGACCUAAGGCGAGGCCGACAGGCGUAGUCGAUGGACAACGGGUUGAUAUUCCCGUACCGGCGAAGAACCGCCCAAGCUAAUCCAGUAGUGCUAAGAGUCCUAAUCCGGCAGAUGGAUCCCUUCGGGGUGAAGCAGCCGGCCUAACGCUCGACCCCAUGCUGGUGCGGCUAGCGUAUUAACAGGUGUGACGCAGGAAGGUAGCCCAAGCCGGGCGAUGGUUGUCCCGGUGCAAGUGCGUAGGCUGAGAGAUAGGCAAAUCCGUCUCUCGUGACGGCCGAGACACGAUGCGGACCCGAAAGGGAUAGUGGGUGAUCCUAAGCUGCCAAGAAAAGCAUCGACGCGAGGUUCCAGCCGCCCGUACCCCAAACCGACUCAGGUGGUCAGGUAGAGAAUACCAAGGAGAUCGAGAGAAUCGUGGUUAAGGAACUCGGCAAAAUGCCCCCGUAACUUCGGGAGAAGGGGGGCCGGAUUGGUGACGGGAUUUACUCCCUGAGCCUUGAAGGCCGCAGAGACCAGUGGGAAGCGACUGUUUACUAAAAACACAGGUCCGUGCUAAGUCGCAAGACGAUGUAUACGGACUGACGCCUGCCCGGUGCUGGAAGGUUAAGAGGAGCGGUUAGCGUAAGCGAAGCUGCGAAUUUAAGCCCCAGUAAACGGCGGUGGUAACUAUAACCAUCCUAAGGUAGCGAAAUUCCUUGUCGGGUAAGUUCCGACCUGCACGA
rnacentral:rRNA from 1 species